UUUUAAGAGAGACUAAUGUUUUAAGAAUGUCACAAUCUAUCAUGCUUUAUGCAUUAUUCACAUCUGGCUUGUCUAUCAUGCUCCAUGAAGCACACGACCAUGACUUUUUCCUUAGUUACCAAAGUUUACUUCAAUUAAUUAGAUUAGCAUUUUAAUGGGUUCCUUCAACAAAAAAAAAAAAAAAAAAAAAAGAACAUAUGCGUACUUCAAAUUUGAUUCGAAGAUACUUCAUGAUAUUAUGAUUUGACUACCUGAAACC
rnacentral:lncRNA from 1 species